CAUGCAAGCCGAGCGGUAUAGAUUCUUCGGAAUCUAGAGAGCGGCGUACGGGUGCGGAACACGUGUGCAACCUACCUUUAUCAGGGGGAUAGCCUUUCGAAAGGAAGAUUAAUACCCCAUAAUAUAUUGACUGGCAUCAGUCGAUAUUGAAAACUCCGGUGGAUAGAGAUGGGCACGCGCAAGAUUAGAUAGUUGGUAGGGUAACGGCCUACCAAGUCAGUGAUCUUUAGGGGGCCUGAGAGGGUGAUCCCCCACACUGGUACUGAGACACGGACCAGACUCCUACGGGAGGCAGCAGUGAGGAAUAUUGGACAAUGGGUGAGAGCCUGAUCCAGCCAUCCCGCGUGAAGGACGACGGCCCUAUGGGUUGUAAACUUCUUUUGUAUAGGGAUAAACCUACUCUCGUGAGAGUAGCUGAAGGUACUAUACGAAUAAGCACCGGCUAACUCCGUGCCAGCAGCCGCGGUAAUACGGAGGGUGCAAGCGUUAUCCGGAUUUAUUGGGUUUAAAGGGUCCGUAGGCGGAUCUGUAAGUCAGUGGUGAAAUCUCAUAGCUUAACUAUGAAACUGCCAUUGAUACUGCAGGUCUUGAGUAAAGUAGAAGUGGCUGGAAUAAGUAGUGUAGCGGUGAAAUGCAUAGAUAUUACUUAGAACACCAAUUGCGAAGGCAGGUCACUAUGUUUUAACUGACGCUGAUGGACGAAAGCGUGGGGAGCGAACAGGAUUAGAUACCCUGGUAGUCCACGCCGUAAACGAUGCUAACUCGUUUUUGGGCUUUAGGGUUCAGAGACUAAGCGAAAGUGAUAAGUUAGCCACCUGGGGAGUACGUUCGCAAGAAUGAAACUCAAAGGAAUUGACGGGGGCCCGCACAAGCGGUGGAUUAUGUGGUUUAAUUCGAUGAUACGCGAGGAACCUUACCAAGGCUUAAAUGGGAAUUGACAGGUUUAGAAAUAGACUUUUCUUCGGACAAUUUUCAAGGUGCUGCAUGGUUGUCGUCAGCUCGUGCCGUGAGGUGUUAGGUUAAGUCCUGCAACGAGCGCAACCCCUGUCACUAGUUGCCAUCAUUCAGUUGGGGACUCUAGUGAGAUGCUACGCAGUAAAAGAGAARGUGGGGAUGACGUCAAAUCAUCACGGCCUUACGCUUGGGCCMMMMCGUAAWACAUGGCCAGUAC
rnacentral:rRNA from 1 species